UUCACCGCGUUGACCAGGAUGGUCUCGAUCUCUUGACCUUGUGAUCCACCCACCUCGGCCUCCCAAAGUGCUGGGAUUACAGGCGUGAGCCACUGCGCCCGGCCUAAAAUUUUCUUAACAGUAAAUUGAAGCAAGUAAUUGGAAUGCAGUGUUUGAAUCAUCCUAAUUCCUCAGUAAGUGGACAUUUAAAAACAGUAGUACUGGUCGGGCGUAGUGGCUCACACCUAUAAUCCCAGCAUUUUGGGAGGCCAAGGUGGGAGAAUCGCAAGAUCAUGAGUUCCAGACCUGCCUGGCCAACACAGUGAAACCCUAAUGCUAGAAUGCUUGAAUGCUUACAUCCAUUGAAAAGAAGGAAAUUCAAGAGGUAAAAAGAGAACCAAGAGAGUGAAGCAUCUGGAACUCAAGAAGGGAAAAAGGGACAGAUUUAGAAAAUAUUGUAAU